CUCUUGAAUGUGUAUGUGAAGGAAGGGUUUCAAUGUUAGACAUACAGUAGGUACCUGAUAAGCACUAACCGAAACUACAGCUGAGCUGCUUGUUCAGGAACUUUACCAACAUGGAACUCAAACAAGAAGGAAAGCAGAGUUAGUGGGGUCUUUGGAACUCUCUUCCCCCGUUCAAAAACGACUUUGUUCUUCUAUGAAUACGACACCAUAGUCAGAGUUACGGAGAGUCUAGAUGUAGGACAGUUAAACCAAACCCCCCAACCCCGCUUUGAUAGCUACAUGUUCUAACAAACAUUCACUACAAAUGUACAAAGUAAGGGAGGCCAACUCUCAGGAGACCCUGGCUGUGGCACAUGUGUUAUCUUUCAGCAGGUGUAACCAUUCAGCGCCAGAAAGGCCUGGAGGAUGAAGAGACAGCACCUCAGGCAGCCUUGCCGGGAGCCACUGGGUUUCAUCCUGGCCUGACCCAGAAAAAUCUUAUGGAAGAGAACAAGAGGCCCAAGAGCCCUCUGAUCUGCUGUCAGCCAGCUGCGGCCGGGAGACUGCCAAAGUGCUGCAGUGACUAGGCAGCGCCCUGCGGAGCCGUCUGGGAGGGGAUUACCAGCCUGAUCCCCUGGUCUUCAGAGCCAGAAAUGACUCAAACUUCACAAACAGCAAGGGCCUGCCAGGGAGGGUGACAAUGAGCACUGGAGAGGGGUUUCUUCCCCUUGUUGGUGUCUCUUCCCCCUCUUGCUGCUAUGGCAGAUUCUGGACAGUGUGCAGCCUGUGAGGUAAUCUGAAUUCCUUGGCAACCGGCAAGUACCUGAAUUCUUUCAAAACCACAGGAAUCCAGCAGAGAAAAGACCAUUUGUGAACAACAGUGGCCCUAGGAUCUUCAUACCAAUUGCCAUUGCAUGAAAAUACAAUGUGACCCUGGAUCCCUGCUGGGAAAGGAAGGCUUUCAUCAAGUUGCUCAGAGAACUUACAGAUCUUUCCACAAUGGAUCCUGGCAUUUUCCCUGUGAAAUGGGAUGGAUAUUUCACUGACUCACUCCAUAGUGCUUGCUAUGCCACUGCAGGUAAAGAAUGAACUAGAUCUUUUAAAUACUUUUUUCAAUGAAGAAGAGCUGUCUAUACAAUAAAUAAUGAUGAGUAUGAUAGGUAUUGUAUAAGGCACUGGGGAUGCAGUGAUGAAUAAAACAAAUGCAAUCCCUGCCCUCACAGAGCCCAAUCCCUACUCGCAAAGAGUUUGAUGUUUGAGUAGAGGGACAGCAAAUACAUAGAAUUUAAAAGAACACAAAGCAGCACACCUACAAGUGCAAGAUGUGAGGCUGCAGAGUGGAAAGAGAUCUGGAAGAACAAUUCCAAAUGAGACUAAAACAGAAAAAUCAGUUGUCAGUCACCACAAUCCAUACAGGACAAAAGAACUCAAAAGGCAAGUGGCUAUAAUGAUAACUGUGAUGAUAACAGCUAUAGUGGCAACAACAGAAACACUAUUAACAUUUGCAGGAAAAAAAUUUUAAUAAAUGUACUGAAGAUUUGUUAUGUGCCAACACUGUUCUAAUCCCUCACAAGUAUUAUUUCAUUUAAUCUUCAUCCAACCCAUGGUAGGUAUAACACCAUCCAAAUAUUACAGAUGAGGGAAGAGUCAGAGAGGGUUAGGAAGCUGCUCCAAGUCCCACAGCUAGUAAGUGAUAGAGCACCAUUUGAACCCAGGCAGUCUGCCUCAGAAGCCUAAUUCUUAAGCACUAUUUGCACCUUUUCUCACAAGUUCUGACCUAAAAUAACUGUCCAGACCUGAAAGUUUGCCUUUAUAAUAAUGCAUUUGCUAUCCCAAGUACUACAGUUAUAAUAAGGAUAAUUGUGUGACCCAUAAUAUCAUACACAACCACAAGAAGCAACUCCGGGGUCAAGAUAACGAGAUUCUUCUCUCAUUUCCCACUGCUGCCAUCUCAAACUCAGAACACAACUUCACAAGCCAUCUCUAUGCAUCAUACGGACACUACAACAUCACUACUGAUUCAUACUCUGGACUUGGUGACCCACACCAUUUCCUGAUCAGUUUCUCACACACACUAUCUCUAUUUUGAGUCAGCUUAGUAUGUAAGAACUGAUGCAAUCACAGUACAAAGAAGUAAGCUGCAGGCUUCCAAACCUAAAAUUAAACAAUUGCAGCUCUUUUUCUACUAAGUAACACCUACAGGCUACAACAGAUAUGUAACCACCCAACUCUACUUGGAACCAGAGACUACAAUGGUAAUGGUCUUCACUCUAUGACACAUCUAACAUCCAUGCCCAUUUCCUCUCUUCUCUUCCUCAUCAUAUACAUUUGUCCUUUGAAUUAUGCAGAACAUAAUCUCUUACAUUAUUUCGGUAACUUUAGUAUUUGUUCAAUGGUCUAUACCUCUCAUUUCUAUCUGCACUAGUAAUUAAACUGUAAGCUCAUGGAAGAAAAGAAUUGUUUGAGUACAGUUUUUUUGUAUAGUGUAAUAUACUGAUAAAUAACUAACGAAAUUUUUGACAUCUUCAAGCCUGUCUCCUUUUCAUCCAUCCCCAAUUAACUCAUUUUAAAUGAUGUCAAUUCUAAGCUCAAAUUGCCCUCCCAAGUAUGCUAAAGCAAGAAGCUGAAUUGUUGGGAAAGUUGGAAACCCAUCCAUUUUUCUAAUUCAACUUUAAGAUUAAAGCUCAUGGUAUCUGUUAAGUUAUUAUAAGGUAGACUGGUACAGUGGUUAAGAGGGCACGCUCUGGAAUCAGCAAGACGAGUUAAAAUCUUCACUUACUAUGGAAGGAAUAGUAACUACCUCUUAGGGUUCUCAUAAAGUCUAAGUGAGAUUAUAUUUGGAAGGUACAGUGGUAAGCACAUAGUAGAUGCUCAAGAAAUAUCAGUUAGUAUUAUUAUUGCAAACUCAAUAGUAUCUAUGUGGUUCCAUUUACUGAGUUCCACAACUCAACAGCACUCCUCACGACGUGCCACACGCCAUUCUGCUCAGAGCAGUGCACUGAUUUAUAAUGAAGAUACAUAAGAAUUAGGAGAUGAUCCCUAUUCCUGAAAAGCCUUUAAGGAGUGGCAGCACCUGGCACACAACAGGGACUCCCUAAAUAUUUGUUGAACAAUGAGAAAAAAUGGAGAGCACCUAAGAAAACAUAAACAAAUAGAAACAAGAGAGCUGUACGGAAUUAUAUUCACAAAUAUAGGAGUGAAAAGAGUGACCAAAAUACUCUCCUGAUACUUCAAAAUCUCAGAGAAAACACUAAUCGUUUAUUUACCAUGAAUAAUGUGUGAGACAAGGAUGACUAAAUUUGACUUCCAUAAAUCAAAUUCAUACCUUAAUCAGAAAACACCAGAUCUUUUCCCUCCUCGAUUUGAAUAUACUAAAUUGGGAAAAUAUGGCAUUUAGUCACGGUUACUGCAGGAGCUGGAGCAAACACAACUCUGUUCCUUUAUGCUGUAUUUUCAGAGCUAAAAGCACAUCAUUAAGAGACCACGUUCGCCAAUCAGCCAAGAUGCUUCCAUCUGUAGGAGCUCACGCUCCUCUCUCUUCAGUAUUACAUAAAAGUAAUCCUUCUUCUAUCCUUUAUCCUAUUCUCAUAGUGGUAAAAGUUGCUACUUGCAGAUAUUUUCCAAAAGGUUAUGACUAUUAUGGGGAAUUUUUAAUAAGAGGCCCUCUCAUUCCUCACUCCAGUGGGAAGACAGGGAAAGAUGUUUUUAUUUGGCCCUCACACCUAACUCUGCCCUCCCUCCCCCAUCCCUCACCCACUCACACUAGCUCUGCUUGCAGACCCUCCACUGGAGCACUCCCUCUCCCUCCCCCUUGAAUCUAAAAGGAAAGCAGGCAGCAGCCUUGGAAAGAGUUACUUCAUCCAGUUGGCUAAUGGGUCACAUAUUCCAUGGGAAAGGAUCCAGGUAUGGAAAAGAGGAGAUGGUUAGGCCUUGUGUGUAAGGAGGGAGAGAAGAGUAUUAACUGCAUGGUUUGUAGGUCUGGGUAAAAGGUGAUAAAAUUCCAGAUUUGGAGAAAAGUGGGAAUAUUUUGCCAUUAUGUCCACAUGCUGCCAGCUCCCCUGGUGCUUGCUGGCAUCUUCCCAGGCUUCUGUCUGGCACUUCCACCAAAGACCUCAAAGAAUCAGACUCAUUCCAAAGCUUCACUGAGCGGGAGGUGGCAGGCAAAGGGUCCUGCCAAGUACUUUGAUCUCUGCAGGGGGUCUCUAGGGAGUCAGCCCAGGGAGAUGUGGGAGGGAGAAGGAGAGCCUGCCAAGUGCAUUCUCUAAAGACUUGUCACCCCCUGUAUGAGACGCGCACGGCAUCCAGGGAAGAGUCAGGGCAUGGGGUUCUCAGCCCCACCAAAGAAAGUUUAACUUUUCUAUUCUUUAUGAUGUUGGUUUUAAAAUAACAAAUCACCAGGGCAAAAGAGCAUUCCAAGAGAAAAAAGUCCCAGAUGAGCUGGGAAUAGAUCCUAUUCUUUUUGACUCAUGUCUAAGAAAAUAAAAAGCAAACUUGUACCACAGUUGACUUUCAAUAGCAAUUCCAUUUGGCAGCUAAAACCCAAACCCAAACUAGUGCCGUCUAUGAGAUUCAAACAACACUGGAGCUCCUGGCACGAAGCUGAAGGAAAAGCUGUUGGACAGGAGCCUUCACACCAAGGUCAGAAGAGAGACAAGAAAAGAGAGAUCCAAGGCUUAUGAGCAGUGCCUUCUGUCACAAGAGACCCAGGGCAAAAGGCCCUCCAGAGUGACCCAGGGUCAGGUAGCAGAACUUGUAGCCUGGGCUUGGGGCUGUAUAGCUACUGCCUCAGAACCAGAUCCUAUAUUUCUUCAGCAUGAAAGGUCUGGCCAUCAGUAUUUACUGUAGAGUUUUUAGUCCAGACUGAAUUUAAGGAUUUUCCCAUAUGAAAGACCCCUUAGAAAGUUAGUUUCUGCACAUAUAGGAAAUAGCUCAGACCAUGUGAAAAGAAAGAGAACUGGGGAAUUUGGGAUGGUGUACCGACCACGCACAUGACAUAUCCGCCUCCCCCUCUUCCCUUCCAGGGUUCCACCGUAAGGACAGAGUAGACAUUUUAUUUAUUUAUUUUUUAAUGUGAUACGCAGGCCUCUCACUGCCGUGGCCUCUCCCGCUGCAGAGCACAGGCUCCGGACACACAGGCCCAGCGGCCAUGGCCCACGGGCCCAGCCGCUCCGCGGCAUGUGGGAUCCUCCCAGACCGGGGCACGAACCUCUGUCCCCUGCAUCGGCAGGCGGACUCCCAACCACUGCGCCACCAGGGAAGCCCCAGAGUAGACAUUUUUAAACGUCUGAAAUGAUAACAAAGCUAGAAAACAGUUAAAGGAGCCAACAAAAGACCAAAGGUUUAAGGAAAUCCUGAAAGACAGAAAGAAGAUAGGAACAGGUUGAGGAAACAGAGCAGAAGAAGCCCAGCCCCAAAUAUCAGAGGUGAGAGUGAUCUUCCCAAGGAGACUUCUGAGAAGUUCCAUGCUGGCAGUGAACUAACACGAAGAGCAAGAGGGAGCCAAUGGACAAGAAUCAGAUAAUUAAUUAAAUAACAAACAGCAUUUAAAACAGUGCGGCCAACAGGCCUUCUUCUCCAGCAACCAAAGCUUUGCCCUCAGGAUGAAACCUAACAACUGUCUUGGGAGGACAUCUUCUGCGGGUGGGCACAGGCAUCCCACAGAGCAGUGGAACUUGAGGCCACUGCAUCCCUACAGCAGACACAAAGGUGAAGAGAGAGGCAAGGUAGCACCGCCCCACAAGGAAAUCACCCAACUCUUCCUUGAUAUCCACAAUCAGGCAGGUCCUGUUUUGGCAAGGGGGAAGGAAGAAGCACGCUUCCUCACCCAUAUCCACCUAAGGUGCGGCCUGACAUUCAACACACUUUGCCCUCACACAAAGCACAGUCAGCCUCCUGUCCAGUGAGAUGUUAUUAGGGAAUCAGUCCUACACAACAGUAGGGGAAACCCAGGCCAGCUGUCAAAAUUUA